rnacentral:rRNA from 1 species
AGUCAUAUGCUUGUCUCAAAGACUAAGCCAUGCAUGUCUAAGCAUAAAUGAAUUCAUAGUGAAGCCGCGAAUAGCUCAUUACAACAGCCAUCGUUUAAUGGAUAUAGUUUUACAUGGAUAACUGUGGUAAUUCUACAGCUAAUACACGCAUCAAAUGUUCUCCUAACCGGAGAACAGCGUUUGUUACUUCAAACCAAUCGGACUCCGGUCUGAAAUCAAGUGAUAUUGAACAAUUUAGCUGAUCGCACGGUCUGAGAACCGGCGACAUAUCCUUCAAAUGUCUGCCUUAUCAACUUUCGAUGGUAGAUUAUGCGCCUACCAUGGUUGUAACGGGUAACGGAGAAUCAGGGUUUGAUUCCGGAGAGGGAGCCUGAGAAACGGCUACCACAUCCAAGAAAGGCAGCGGGCACGCAAAUUACCCACUCCCGGCACGGGGAGGUAGUGACGAAAAAUAACAAGCUGGUCUCAAUGAGUUCCGGCAUUGUAAUGGGAACAAUUUAAAUCAUUUAUCGAGGAUCUAUUGGAGGGCAAGUCUGGUGCCAGCAGCCGCGGUAAUUCCAGCUCCAAUAGCGUAUAUUAAAGUUGUUGAGGUUAAAAAGCUCGUAGUUGGAUCUAGGAUUAGGGCUACGGUCGUUCAGCUUGGACGUACUGUAUGUCCGACUCCUUUUCUCCAGUAUUCGAUUGUUGCUCUUAAAUGAGUGACU